UGCAUGACUCCAACCACAUGACUUUGCUCAGCCAAUCGAAUGGCAUGUAGGUCAUAGUAAGCCUGUCCCGGCUUCCUCCCGUCAGAUGCGUGGAGGCAAGCCAGGUGACAGAGCUGUUGCAGGUGUGUAUUGGCAAACAUUUGCUUUUCCCGUUUUAAUGCAUUUUUUUAACACCAACUAACUUAUGCAACUUAGAUGCUGAUUACUGUGAGCCAGAGCCAUAAUGUUGUUGUGCACUGAACAGAACGGAAUUGGCCAGGUGAACCUUUUUUGGGUAUGGAAAAGGAUGGCGAGCCAAUGAACGGCUAGGAGCAGGACUCACUCUGCAUUGAAGCUUCCACUGGACUGGUAGGAAGCUAUCAAAGGCGACGCUCUGUCCCGUAAUUUCCGAAUACACUGAUUUCCACAAUCAUACACACCAGUUCCCCCGUUUAUGGACAAUAGCGCUUGGACAUCUCUCAUGGAUAUUCAGAUAAAACUCAUGGACUUCAGUGUGGAUCAGUGUUUUCGAUGUUAACAUGUGUUAUUUAUGGGGAACUUUUUUUGAGAAUCUAUAUUGCUUGGUAUAAGCCAGAAGAAUUUGCUUAGUUGUUUUUGUGCACCCCCACUGGGUUUUUCUAUUAAUUAAAUAGCUACAGCAGGAAUGAUUAUUUAAGCUUUCAUUUUCUUUUCUUAAUUUUCUUUGCUUUCGGUUAAAUACAUGGUACCUGCAAAAGCA